UUCUCUGCCAAGGAAUUUUUCCAUCUCCCUUUCCCUCUCUUAUUGCUCCAAAGUCACAGCUUUUUUAGUCUUUCAAUUGACUGCCUCACUGUAGAACAAGGAGAAAGGCGCUUCACUUGAUUAAAGGCGAGUUCUUUGUUCUUUUUCCUCCUAGAAAUUAAUUGUAAGCUUCUUCAGUUUCUUUCACUUUUUUUGUUUUUGUUUUUCUGUUUAUUCUGGUUUCUGGGUAUUUCUCUUUGUUAAAGUUUUUUCCUUUUUGUGUUAUUAAAAUUGGGUUUGUUGAUUGCUUGUGGUACGAUGGAUUGUUUGAUUGCUUUAAAAUAUGAUUAGAGUUUUACACGCGUAAAUUUGUUUUGAAAAAGAAUGAAAACAUGAUGGGUUCUAAAUCCAUUGUGUACUUAUCCUCUACUCGUAAUAGCAAUAAGUGUGUAAGCUCUUUGAUAAAGAUGAAAAGCUCUUAAUUGUACUUUCUUUUUCUUUCUCUAUAAAUCAUUAAAAAAAUCAAAUUGUGUUUUGAGUCAUUGUCAUUUGUAUCGGUCUCCAAGGUGUUUCACCGCGACUAUCUUUUUAGCUAGUCUAAACGAUGGAGCGAUCCAGACUUAAUACGAGGUUUCGUUGCUCUGGUUCGACACCUUCAGAUGAAUCGGCUUUGGAUUCAGAAAGGAACUGCUGCUGUCAUCCUCACCUUCCUUCGUUUAGUUCGCCGACGCUUCAGCCUUUCGCAUCAGCUGGACAGCACAGUGAUAACAAUGCUCCUUAUUUUUCAUGGCCGACCUCCAGCAGGUUAAAUGAUGCUGCUGAAGAGAGGGCGAACUAUUUCGCUAAUCUACGGAAAGGAGUUCUGCCCCAGACUCUUGGUCGGUUGCCAAAAGGGCAACAAGCAAUGACAUUACUCGAGCUGAUGACCAUAAGAGCAUUUCAUAGCAAGAUUUUGAGAUGCUACAGUCUUGGGACGGCAAUUGGUUUUCGUAUUAAAAAGGGAGUGCUGACUGACAUACCAGCUAUCCUUGUUUUCGUCUCCAGGAAAGUUGACAAGCAAUGGCUCAGUCCCAUCCAAUGUCUACCUACAGCCUUAGAGGGACCAGGAGGAGUAUGGUGCAAUGUGGAUGUUGUGGAGUUCUCGUAUUUCAGUGCUCCUGAGCCAGCACCCAAAGAGCAGCUGUACACGGAGAUUGUGGAUGAUUUGCGUGGGGGUGAUCCACAUAUUGGCUCUGGUUCUCAGGUAGCAAACCAGGAAACAUAUGGGACUUUGGGUGCUAUUGUGAAAAGUCAAACUGGCAGCCGACAGGUUGGGUUUCUUACAAAUCGCCAUGUUGCAGUUGACUUGGAUUACCCAAAUCAAAAAAUGUUCCAUCCUUUGCCUCCAACACUUGGCCCUGGUGUAUACCUUGGUGCAGUGGAGAGAGCUACUUCAUUCAUCACAGACGAUCUUUGGUAUGGCAUUUUUGCUGGAAUAAACCCAGAAACAUUUUUCAGAGCAGAUGGUGCAUUUAUCCCAUUCGCUAAUGAUUUCGACAUGUCCACUGUUACUACAUCCGUUAAAGGUGUCGGUGAGAUUGGUGAUGUCAAGGUUAUCGAUUUACAGUAUCCAAUUGGUAGCCUUAUUGGCAAGCACGUUAUGAAGGUUGGAAGGAGUUCUGGCUUAACAUCGGGCACUGUAUUAGCUUAUGCCCUUGAAUAUAAUGAUGAGAAAGGCAUAUGCUUCUUAACCGAUUUUCUUGUUGUCGGUGAGAAUCAGCAGAGUUUUGACCUUGAAGGGGAUAGUGGAAGCCUCAUCAUUAUGAAAGGUGAAAACGGGGAAAAGCCGAGGCCAAUAGGAAUUAUAUGGGGUGGAACUGCAAACCGGGGUCGACUUAAGCUAAAAGUUGGACAGCCACCUGAAAAUUGGACCAGUGGGGUUGAUCUUGGGCGACUGCUCAACCUCCUUGAGCUUGAUAUUAUCAUUACCGAGGAAGGGCUUAAAGAGUCCGAUGCUUAGAACAACUCAAGCGAUGUGCGUUUUUGAUGCGAUGAUUGAAUUUUUGAACAUUAACUGUGUUAUUUUCGUGCUGAUCAUAAAGGUAGCUAAAGGCCUUUAGCUCAAGGACAUAUUCUCUUCGUUUCCAAAAGCAAUGCAAGCACAAAGAGCAGCCUCAGCUGCAGCUAUUGCCUCCACGGUUGGGGACUCUUCGACCCCGGAAAGAGU